UACGUAGGUGGCAAGCGUUGUCCGGAAUUAUUGGGUUUAAAGGGUGCGUAGGCGGCUUUGUAAGUCCGAGGUGAAAUAUGGCAGCUCAACUGUCAAGGUGCCAUUGAUACUGCGGAGCUUGAGUACAGAUGAGGUAGGCGGAAUUGACGGUGUAGCGGUGAAAUGCUUAGAUAUCGUCAAGAACACCUAUAGCGAAGGCAGCUUACUAGGCUGUAACUGACGCUGAGGCACGAAGGUGUGGGGAUCAAACAGG
rnacentral:rRNA from 1 species